rnacentral:lncRNA from 9 species
CUGAGCACCUGCGCCAAGGCGGAACUGAGGGGUCUGGUCACUGCACGGAGGACCUAGCACCAAGCCUCACCUGUGCGGGGGCCGGAGGCGGGGCCAGAACUCACCUGAGCAGGCGGCGACUUGCCCCGGGGGUAACCCCGGGCUGGCCUAGCGCGGAGGGGGAGAAGCCCCCGGGCGGCUCCAUCCGUACGUCCCCAUCCGUACGCCCCCGCGUCGGUCCGCGCGGCAGCCAUGACCUGGAGCGCCACGGCUCGGGGCGCGCACCAGCCGGACAACACCGCGUUCACGCAGCAGCGCCUCCCCGCCUGGCAGCCGCUGCUGUCAGCCAGCAUCGCGUUGCCGCUCUUCUUCUGCGCGGGCCUGGCCUUCAUCGGCCUGGGCCUGGGCCUCUACUACUCUUCCAAUGGCAUCAAGGAGCUCGAGUACGACUAUACCGGCGACUCGGGCCUCAGCAACUGCUCGGUGUGCGCCGCAGCCGGGCAGGGCCGCGCGCCGCCGCCCCGCUGCUCAUGCGCCUGGUACUUCUCUCUGCCCGAGCUCUUCCAGGGCCCCGUGUACCUCUACUACGAGCUGACCAACUUCUACCAGAACAACCGGCGCUACGGUGUGUCCCGCGACGACGCGCAGCUGAGUGGGCUGCCGAGCGCCCUGCGGCACCCGGUCAACGAGUGCGCCCCCUACCAACUCAGCGCGGCCGGCCUGCCCAUCGCGCCCUGCGGCGCCAUCGCCAACAGCCUCUUCAACGACUCCUUCUCGCUGUGGUACCAGCGCCAGCCCGGCGGGCCCUACGUCGAGGUGCCGCUCGACCGCACCGGCAUCGCCUGGUGGACCGACUACCACGUCAAGUUCCGCAACCCGCCGCUGGUGAACGGCAGUCUGGCGCUAGCCUUCCGGGGCACCGCGCCCCCGCCCAACUGGCACCGGCCGGUCUACGAGCUCAGCCCCGACCCCAACAACACCGGCUUCAUCAACCAGGACUUCGUGGUGUGGAUGCGCACUGCCGCUCUGCCCACGUUCCGCAAGCUGUACGCACGCAUCCGCCAGGGCAACUACUCCGCCGGGCUGCCGCGGGGCGCCUACCGCGUCAACAUCACCUACAACUACCCGGUGCGCGCCUUCGGCGGCCACAAGCUCAUCAUCUUCAGCAGCAUCUCCUGGAUGGGAGGCAAGAACCCCUUCCUGGGCAUCGCCUACCUGGUGGUUGGCUCCCUCUGCAUCCUCACGGGCUUUGUCAUGCUGGUCGUCUACAUUCGCUACCAGGACCAGAACGACGAGGACGAGGAGGACGAGUAACUCCUGCUUUCAAAGUACCCUUUCUGAAAGCUUCUUGCUUCAGCUCUCUUGCAAGCUUCUUUUGGGUUUCUGUCUCUUUGACUCUCACCCAAUUCCAGCCUCGCUUCACUUGGCCUCCUUUUGUGGAUGAGGAGACCAGAGAGAGAGGAAUUACAUCCAAUCCGGGGCCUCCAGACUUUUCUGGGGUGUUUGAACUGGUAGAGUGAGACAUCCCGGCCGCUUCUCCCCAUCUCCUUCACCAUUUACUGAGUUGACAUGUUAGGUUCUUGGAGAGCAGAAGGGACAGUUGGGACUGCUCUUAUUCAGCUCCCAUCUAAUGAAGAGCUAGACCUAGACGUUAGAGAACUCAUUUGAGAUGCAGCAGCAACUUGGCUCCUGGCUCUGACUCUAGAGCUUUAACCACUUCUGUACAGUGGUUUUCUUUCCCUUUUUUGGGGUGGGGGGUGGGGGGUAGAAAAUGAAACCCACAAAUAACCAGCAAAGGCAUGGACGGGUAGGGAGAACGCUCUAGUUUAAAGCGUAGAUGGAUUAGGAGGCCCCAGAAAUUCUGACAACAAGGCUGUGGGGAGACCCUCGAAGCUGCAGUUUAAACCAGCCCAUCUGGAGAUUCCCCUGUGUUCCCUCAAACUUGGAAAUUGGGGCUCUGAACCAGGGAGUAAAGAGGAUACUGCCUGUUUCCCUAUUUGCGCAUUUGUGGGAGGCUGGGUCCGAAGUAGUCACUCAGUCCGGUUUUUCAGGCAACUGGUCAUUUGUUCCCAGGAGCAGUGACUAGCACAAUGUUGCUGGUUUGGUCUAGCUCUCCUCGUUGAACAUGAGAAGCUCUCUAUAAUGUGCAGAAUGAGUGAAAACAAAUAGUUGGCAUACAGUUUUGCAGAACAGGGGUCUGUACCAAUUCGUUUGAUAUUUGUGAGAAAUUUGUUUAUUAUUAUUUUUUAUUUUAUUUUAUUUUUUUGGCCAGGGACUGUGUAGAAAUUUGAAAAUGCCAGGUCAGCUUGUACAGCUCAAAGGGGAUGUUUUAACCUUAGAAUCAGGUAGCUGGAAGGGACCUUCUAGGGAAAGUAAUUUCCCUAAAGCCAGGUCUUUGUCUCUUGACUGCUGACUUGGUUCUCUUUGUCAUCUAAGUGAUUUUUUAUGCUUAGAGAGAAAGGGCUACAUUCAUACCUUUUCCCUUGGGUCUAAGAAAAAAAGUUUUUAAUCUACGUUCUCAAAUGAAGGGUGUUUAUUUCUAGUACUAUGCUCAAAUGAAUGCUAAGGAAUAUAGUCUCAUGUAAAUUAGAAUCUUAAGAAUUACUUAACCUUUUAAUCUCUGAGUACUCUAAAAUCAUUCUAAUAUAUAUACAAUUAUUCCAAGAAAAUAGAAUUUUAAAAACCCUCUUAUGGCAAAAGAACUUAAGAAAAAUUAGAUCAUCUUAACCAUUUAUUUGCCAAAAGCAAACAGUUAUUUGGUAGAAUUCUCAGUGCCUGUUCUUUGUGAUGGCUACUUUCCAGUUACUAUAAUUUUUACUCAUGCCUGUAAGAUAGUGUAAUACCUUGAGUAUUUUUUCUCAGUAGUCAAAGAAAUACUGAAUUGUAUUGAAUACUUUAUAUUAAUUUUAUUUUACCCUAUUCUAGUUCUUUGAAAAUUAUUAAUCUACAGACCAUGCAUGCUCACUGACAUCUGUUCAGAUCUCCUAGAACAAUUGUGAUUUAAGAGACUCCAUCCCAGUAUUUACAUAAACUAAAUAUACAAUUACAAAAUAUAUUAUAAUCACAGUGUAUUGCCUUCCAAACUCCUGAAAAUGACACAAUUUUAUUGUCAGAUUUCAUAUCAUGAUUUUAGGCUAUAAAUAUAUGAUCUUAUGUAUAUAGAGUAAUUUUUUAUUUAUUAUGAAUGUAUGAUCAAGAAGCUUACUAGCCUAACCUCUCUUUACAAUGGAUAAGAAGAUUUACUGCUUUUUUUAUUACAUAGUUGAGAGUAACCAUGUAUUUUUCUAUCGUUUUUACAAUAUUCUAUUGCUAUAAAAUUUUAAAUGACUAUAAAUUAAGAUAUUCUGAUUAACGAAUAUGGUUCUAGGCCCUAUUCUCUGGGUUUUUGAAAGAGAAUAAAGGUUAUGUUUGUGUUACCUUUGUUACCAUGUUUGCUUAAUUCUUUUGAACCAUGAUCUUAAAGGCACAAACAUUUUAAAAGCUACCACCUACCAACGACUUUGUUCAUUUGUUAUUAGCAGAUUUAUAAUGUAGGAAGAAAAUAAUUUUUCAGAACAAAGCUCAACGUGAACUCUGUCUUCCUGACACAGAAUUUGAACUUACAUCAAAAUCAAUGUGUAGUACAAAUCAGACAAUCUUCAACUACUGUUAGAAUUUGGUAAAAUGUGGUCAAUUUUUAAUAAUAUUUAGUAUUAAACGUACAAAAGAAUGUGGUUGUAGAAAUCUUCCUUUUCCAUUUUUGCCUUUUACUCACAUUCUAAACUGAAAUUAUUUGUUGGGUAUUUUGGACUACAAAGCCUCAGAAACUUUAAAAACAAAAAGUGAAACAUUUUCCUGCGCUGUGGGCAUUUUGUUUGGUAUCCCAGAAUUCUAGCUGGGCUUGAAUUCUUACGUUGUCCAGAAAAUGGUUCCUAGCCAGAGCUGUGUCAUUUGGAAUGAGACAGAAAAGAGUGAACCUCAACAACUGGGUUGGAAAUGUGCUUUGAUCUCUGUUGUAAAGUAAACCACAAACAAAAGAGAAACUAAUGUGGUUGGCGGGAACUCCCCAAACAGAAUAAUAUAACAAGAAAGACUUUCCAAGAAUCUACAGAAUCAAAUCAACUAAACAAUUCACUGACUAUACAGUUGUUACAAAUCAGAAACAAAAUAAUAGUCUGCCACUUCCUCUAGUAAAAAUAUCACUUCACACUAUAUAGCCACAACCCUUUCUGCCUCAUAGUGUCUGUGCUCUCUUCCUGUCACUGAGGAUCUCAGCAAUCUUGAGUAGAUUCUCAAAACGGGGUUAUUGAUAGAGCUGCAGUGUAAUCAAUUCCUAUAUGCCCCUGGGUAAAAGUGAUCUGUUACCCUAGUAAUAGUAAAUUGUAUUAAAUAUACAUUUAUUUUUAUUCAGCAUUUCUUUGCAUCCUGGAUAUUUUUUCCCCUACAGCUAAACCAUAGCUGACUGAUUUGAGAUGACACAAUUUUAAAAAUUAUUUUAACGUGGAUGCCAGGAGAGUUUCUGUCAUCACUGUCCUCCAACAAAAGCAGAGUCAUUUAUAAAGUGUCAUCAAGAAGGUCUUAGUGAAUCUGAUUGAAACACUUUACGGGCCCAGAGAGACCUUACAUGAGAGUAACACUUUGUGUAAAGAAUUUGCAAAAGUUGCAAACAAUGUUGAUGCUAUGUAUACAGCCAUCCCCCAUGAUUUCCCCCACAAGACUAACAACAUGUAUUACGAAAAAAUACUUCCCCACUGGUUCACCACCUGGCACUGUGAUUCUUGCCAUUAGUGAUAAUAGUGUAGAUUAGCUCAGCACAGUAAGAUGGCAUUCCUUUAUUCAUGCACUUGGCUGAGCAGUUCACCAUAGGAUAGAAAGCUCCUGGAGCAGUGAAAUCCAGCAUAGACUGGGGAUGUAGGGGAGAGAAGAGGGGGAAAUAGAGAAGAGAAAGGUGAGGUUUGGAGCAUGGGGUAUUUUUCUGGACCAGCAUAGUGUCUAGAAGGGGGUCUUGGGCGUGAAGGGAGUCCACUUUAGAGGGCAGAGCUGGCCAGCAGACUCACUGAUGACAAGGCCUUGGAGAAAUUCAGUAAGUGGAUGGUGGGUCACCUCCUGCUAAGCUUCUCAGCUUGUCUUUUUGAUCAAUUUGAGUGUGAUUUAUCUUUUUCCUUAGAAGCAAAAGGUAUUACUGUCAAGAAAUUGCCUUGCUUUCCACACUGAGCUCUUAACCAAGUUCCCACUAAAGUAGCUGAAAUCUUACAUUACUGAUGAAAACUGUAAAGGAUGUGUCAUUAAUAAUGAUACUUUGUUCUUCUAAAAGGCCUUUUUUCUGAAAGUCCAGGGUGCUUAACACUAUGUGGUCUCAUUAAUCGUAGCCAUCAAAAUGCAAGAGCUUUUAGAAAGUCAUCAAGACUGACAUGGGAGAAAUACAUUCCCUUCUCUUUUGCUCAGUUUUGUUCAGAACUCUACAAAAGUUAGCAGUUUUUCUACAAAAGAAUCACCUCUGGAUGAGGCAGUGAUAAUCAUUUCAAUGGGCCACUUGAGUUUUCUCAAAGGAAGACACAAUUAAUUCCUGUUAUUAUUAUUAUUUGCUUUUUAGGGCCACACUUGUGGCAUAUGAAGUUCCCAAGCUAGGGGUCAAAUAGGAGCUGCAGCUGCCAGCCUACACUACAGCCACAUCAACUUAGGAUCUGAGCCGCUUCUGCGAUCUACACCACAGCUCACGGCAACACUGGAUCCUUAACCCACUGAGUUAGGGCAGGGAUUGAACCUGCAUCCUCAUGGAUACCAGUCGGGUUCAUUACCACUGAGCCAAAAUGGGAACUCAGAUUCCUGUUAUGAUUUUAAUAAGUAAAAGUCCUAUCCCAUUUUUGUGAAAGAAUCCAAAAUGAGAGCUGCAUCACUUCGUAUUUAUAGUUAAUGACAGAAUGGAAAACACAUUUUACUCUUUCGUUUUCAAUUUUUUCUACAGGGCUUUAGGGAUUAAGACAUGUAUCGUUAUGUCAACAUAAUUUGCAAAUAACUGAAUGACGGCAUCUUUCAUACCAUCAGGGGCAAAUCAGCUCAUUUAUUCAGUUUCAUGACUGUUUAAAAACGUUAUUGACCAUCCCACAUACAAAUGGCAUAACUCAUAUCUCCAACCCUAACUUCUGUCCAGACUCACAUGUCCAGCUGUCGCUGGGACAAACCUAAAUGUCCUACAAACAGCAUAAGCUCAGUAUGAAACCCAAAGACCUUUCCUCCAAACCCAUUCUUCCAAGAACAGUCCCAGAUGCUGAAAAUGACUCAUCUAUCCCGCUCAGUCAUCCAAGCCAAAAACAUGAACUGGCUUCUCAGCAACUCCCUCUGUUUCUUCCCACAUGCAACUGUUUAUCAGAUCCUGUUGCUCCUAUAUCCCAAAUGCACUUUCAAUCCGAUCUGUCUUUGUCACUGCUCUGGCCCAGGACUUUGUUAUUUUCCAUCUGGAAGUUGGAGAAGCCUGCUAAUUGGACUCCAGUUUAUUCUCCACAUCCCAGCCGCAACGAGCUCGCCAAAAGGCAAAUCAUCACGUGACCCUCAACUCCCAAUCCCUCAUGUCUACACACCGCCUGCAGGAGGAAGUCAAAAUUCCUUAGCAAGGCCUACAAGCUCUUCAUGGUUGGCUUCACUCUGAAUCUUCACCCCUUUUUCCUCCAAGGCUCCACCAAAUUCCAGCUACAUUGGAUGAUUUGAAGAGAGAGACCUGAGCCCAGCAUUCCCUCAUGGCUUUGCCGGUGGUCCGGCGCAUCCAUGUGAUCACCCGAAUCUCCCCGGUCAUCCUCAAGGCCACGAUCAGUGUUUGUGACUCCGCAAAGUCCUCCACCGCCCUCCAUGCCCUGUCCUCAGCCUCGUCCUCCUUUGUGCUUAUGCUUCUCUCACAGCACUUGGGAGCGCAAGCAGCCAAGCACGGAGGCUGGGUCCCAGAUCCUUUGCAUAUCACAGAGCUGAGCAUUUUUCCUGUACAUCACUUCUCCCGGCUGAGGAGGUACAUCCCACAGAACCGGGAGGAGGAGAGUUCAACCUGCCACCUGGCCCCCUGAAACCAACUUUGUGGUGGCCUUGCUGACCCUGCCAAGGACCGUCACCAGAGCCUGAACUAAGAAGCACGGAACGUGGUGUAUGGUUUCUCAGGUUGGUGCUUGUCCAAUCUGAAAUGGGAAUCUCUCGUCCAAAGAUGUGCAUUACUGCCCUCUGCCGGACAGAAAUAGAAUCGCCAGCGUUUAACUACCUCUGGGCCUAACACAGGUGGGAAAAAAAAAAUCUGCUUUUACGUGAUUGUGUAAUGCUCGAGUGGAGUAUUCAUUUCCAAAAUUAAAGUUCCCAAGAGUAAAUAAAACUCGAACGCG